UAUAUUUUCUUUUUCAAUGAGUGUGUGUAUUUUGAUCUCUUAGAUCGCAGAAGAAGAUGGCAAAUUCCUCCCCCGUUUUGUCCAAAGUCCCUGGAUAUGGCUUACAGGUCAGGAACUCUGACCGUAACCAGGGUCUUCAGGGUCCUCUGACAGCAGAGCAAAAGAGAGGGCAUGGGAUGAAGAACCAUUCCAGAUCCAGAAGCUCCUCCCACUCACCCCCAAGACAUGCCAGCAAGAAGAGCACCAGGGAAGCAGGGUCCCGGGACAGGAGGUCUCGAUCCCUGGGCAGAAGGUCACGGUCCCCAAGACCCAGCAAACUGUGAGUGUGGGAUUCACUGGGAAAUAACCUGUGACUGUGGGGGCCUGGUCCCAGCAGGCAUUUGUUUUUGCUUUUGGUGAUGUCCGUCCAUUGACUUUCCCAAAUGUCUUUGCUUUGGUAUUUCCUUUACAUCAUUUUUUUUUCCACCUCAAUGUAAAGCUCAGGCAUCCAAAGCCACAUAUCUGUAGGUGUAUUCUGUGCUUUGGGAGCUCUGGGGUGAGUCUAACAUCAAACCCUAUACCUUUGUUUUUCUCACACUUA
rnacentral:sRNA from 1 species